CAGAAUUUUCAAAAGUUUUAAGCAGCACAUCUUUUACAACUUUGUUGUUCAUAAUAAAUACAAGACUGUGACACAGUUUUUAUAUCGGUGCCUGUUUUUAUAGAAAUGCGCAUAAGUAUAUACAUGUACAAAUGUAUAAACAUGAAUAAAUGACUUGGUCUCUACAACACA